GAUCUGAGGUUCAGCUGGGAAGAGAGAGUGGUGUUCAGAACAGCCUCAGCUUGACUGAUUCAUCAACGUUCAGUCUGUGGCCCUCCCUCGAAGUGAGGGGACACUGUGAAGUUGUACUAUCUCAGCCUUUGCUCUAUUGAGACAGGCUCCAGAAAUGCUGUGCUCAGCCUCCUCGGUCAGAUUGCAGAUGCCACGCACGCACGGGCUUUGGGGUCCUGAUGAGAUGUCUCCGUUCACUCUCUUCGUGGAGUUCACGUCUGAGUGGAGGUAUAUCCUCUGCCCUCACAUUCUAGUUCUGGAACCUCAUGAAAGUGUUCUCCAAGCUUCACAUCAUAUUAGUUCCCUAACAGAACCACAAAGUGAUUGGCAUGUGCACAUGUGCAAGCACACACACACACAUAAGUACACACACAUACAUAUACACAUAUAUACACAUCUACACAAAUGCAUGUACAAUAUACACAUCUACACAAAUGCAUGUACAGACACACACACACAGACACACAAGAAUUGUGGAAAAGGAUUUUCCCGUGGCUUAGGAGGCUGGAAGUCUGAUGUCAGAGUUUCACUAGUUCUGGUUUUCCCCUGAAGGCUGACUGGCAGUUCUGUUCCAGGACCCUGUCCUUGUGUUUGCUGCUUGCUGCUGAUCAUGGUAUUACUGAAUUAUAGCAUCACCUCCAAACUCUGCUUCUGUCUUCCUUAGGGUUUAGGUUAGGCCCCACCCCACUCAGUGAUGACCUCAUCUUACUAAUUAUACCUGUAAAGACCCUAUUCUAAAAUAAAGCCACAUUCACAUAUACC
rnacentral:lncRNA from 1 species